rnacentral:rRNA from 1 species
UACGUAGGUGGCAAGCGUUGUCCGGAAUUAUUGGGCGUAAAGCGCGCGCAGGCGGCCUCUUAAGUCUGAUGUGAAAGCCCCCGGCUCAACCGGGGAGGGCCAUUGGAAACUGGGAGGCUUGAGUAUAGGAGAGAAGAGUGGAAUUCCACGUGUAGCGGUGAAAUGCGUAGAGAUGAUGGAGGAACACCAGUGGCGAAGGCGACUCUUUGGCCUAUAACUGACGCUGAGGCGCGAAAGCGUGGGGGAGCAAACAGG